rnacentral:rRNA from 1 species
CAGAGGGUGCGAGCGUUAAUCGGAUUUACUGGGCGCAAAGCGUGCGUAGGCGGCUUUUUAAGUCGGAUGUGAAAUACCCCGACGCUUAACUUGGGAAGUUGCAUUCGAUACUGGGAAGGACUAGAGUAUGGGAGGAGGAUGGUAGAAUUCCAGGUGUAGCGGUGAAAUGCGUAGAGAUCUGGAGGAAUACCGAUGGCGAAGGCAGCCAUCUGGCCUAAUACUGACGCUGGGGUACGAAAGCAUGGGGAGGCAAACAGGAUU